GUGAUGUUCUUAUGAUUACAAGGAGGGUGUUCAAAUACAAGAAUUCUAACUACUGGAACCUUCUAUCACGAUAUCGGAUUAAAAAAAGAAAGUACAUUUACAAAAAAGCUGAACUAAAUCAUUCUUAUAAGAUUAUGGCCGACUGGAAUGAUGAUACCUGCGUAAUUAAAUGUGAAGUAGAAUAAUUGACUUCCGACUAUCGUCUACCACGCACGAAUUUUGCAGAUAUGACUUAUUAGUAAAUUUACUAAUUGUUAAGGGGAUGUUACAAUAUCUUGUUGAUUCACGUAAAACAGGCAAGUCAAAACUUUUUCAGUAAUCAUGGGAUCGUCAAAGCGAAUUGUAAAGAAUUUUUGACAAUGUGGCCAUCUGCGAGACCGAAAGUUGAAUUGAAAAACUGGCUACUACUGUAGAUUGCUCCAGUCUUUCCUUAAAUUUAUCGAGAAAAUACGUCAAUAAACCUGUAAAACCAUUAAAUUUGUUUAGUUUAAA